GAUUUCAAUUGAAAAAGUCAUCAACAACAAAGUUGAAUAACUCAUCAAGAUCUAAAACUUUUAUUUUUGUUAUUUCUUCAUCCGACGAAAUGUUAGUAAUAUUAUUCACAAAUUUUACAUAUAUGUGUUAUAGUUUUAUAAAACCAGAUAAGAGAUAUGUCAAUUUUGUGAACAAUGUUACUAUCACUUUGUCGUAUGAAGAAAUGACCAAAAUAAAAGUUUUAGAUCUUGAUGAGUUAUUCAACUUUGUUAUUGAUGACUUUUUCAGUUGAUAUC
rnacentral:pre_miRNA from 1 species